CCUACGGGGGGCUGCAGUGGGGAAUCUUGCGCAAUGGGCGAAAGCCUGACGCAGCGACGCCGCGUGCGGGAAGAAGGCCUUAGGGUUGUAAACCGCUUUCAGGAGGGACGAAGCCACUCGGGUGAAUAGCCCAGAGGGUGACGGUACCUCCAGAAGAAGCCCCGGCUAACUACGUGCCAGCAGCCGCGGUAAUACGUAGGGGGCAAGCGUUGUCCGGAUGUAUUGGGCGGCGGCCGCGUGGGGGCGGCGUGAAAACUGGAGGCUCAACCUUCAGACGUCGACCGAAACCCCCUGGCUAGAGUCCGGGAGAGGAGAGUGGAAUUCCUGGUGUAGCGGUGGAAUGCGCAGAUAUCAGGAAGAACACCCGUGGCGAAAGCGGCUCUCUGGAACGGUACUGACGCUGAGACGCGAAAGCGUGGGGAGCGAACAGGAUUAGAUACCCCGGUAGUC
rnacentral:rRNA from 1 species